rnacentral:rRNA from 1 species
GACGAACGCUGGCGGCGUGCUUAACACAUGCAAGUCGAGCGGUAAGGCCCUUUCGGGGGUACACGAGCGGCGAACGGGUGAGUAACACGUGGGUGACCUGCCCUCAGCUCUGGGAUAAGCCUGGGAAACCGGGUCUAAUACUGGAUAUGACUCCAUGACGCAUGUUGUGGGGUGGAAAGCCUUGUGCGGCUGAGGAUGGGCCCGCGGCCUAUCAGCUUGUUGGUGGGGUGAUGGCCUACCAAGGCGACGAUCCGUAACUGGUCUGAGAGGACGACCAGUCACACCGGAACUGAGACACGGUCCGGACUCCUACGGGAGGCAGCAGUGGGGAAUAUUGGACAAUGGGGAAACCCUGAUCCAGCGACGCCGCGUGGGUGAAGAAGGCCUGCGGGUUGUAAAGCCCUUUCAGUGGGGAANAAAAGCCUCGACCUACACGUCGGGUCUUGACGUAACCCAUAGAAGAAGCACCGGCUAACUCUGUGCCAGCAGCCGCUGUAAG